UACGUAGGGGGCAAGCGUUGUUCGGAAUUACUGGGCGUAAAGGGCGCGUAGGCGGCAUGGCAAGUCGGGAGUGAAAGGCCUGGGCUCAACCGAGGAACUGCUUUCGAGACUGCCAAGCUAGAGUGCGGAAGGGGCAUCUGGAAUUCCCAGUGUAGCGGUGAAAUGCGUAGAUAUUGGGAAGAACACCCGUGGCUAAGGCGGCUCUCUAGUACGUGACUGACGCUGAGACGCGAAAGCGUGGGGAGCAAACAGG
rnacentral:rRNA from 1 species